rnacentral:rRNA from 1 species
GGUUAAGCGACUAAGCGUACACGGUGGAUGCCCUGGCAGUCAGAGGCGAUGAAGGACGUGCUAAUCUGCGAAAAGCGCCGGUAAGGUGAUAUGAACCGCUAUAGCCGGCGAUGUCCGAAUGGGGAAACCCAGUGCAAUUCGUUGCACUAUCGUUAACUGAAUACAUAGGUUAACGAGGCGAACCGGGGGAACUGAAACAUCUAAGUACCCCGAGGAAAAGAAAUCAACCGAGAUUCCCCCAGUAGCGGCGAGCGAACGGGGAGCAGCCCAGAGCCUGAAUCAGCAUAUGUGGUAGUGGAACGGUCUGGAAAGGCCGGCGAUACAGGGUGACAGCCCCGUACACAAAACCGCAUGUGUUGUGAGCUCGAUGAGUAGGGCGGGACACGUGGUAUCCUGUCUGAAUAUGGGGGGACCAUCCUCCAAGGCUAAAUACUCCUGACUGACCGAUAGUGAACCAGUACCGUGAGGGAAAGGCGAAAAGAACCCCGGCGAGGGGAGUGAAAAAGAACCUGAAACCGUGUACGUACAAGCAGUGGGAGCCUCUUU